ACUCCACUGAGCUGUGAGCUUCUUUCUGACCUCCCCUCGGCGAGCGAAGCCCGUUAUACUGUAUUUACCGCCGUGGAGAAACAGCUAGCUUUCGGUAAAGAAGAGAGUGUCCUGUCAGGCACAUGACAUCGACAUGGAACAAGCCAAACUCCAGCACAUAAUCAGGACAGUGGUGAGGAUCAUUGGAUGUUGUCCACCUACGUUUCAGAAAAUCUACGAUAGCAGGGUAAUGAAGUCAAAAUAACAGCUGACCCCUCUCAUUCUGGACAUCAUCUCUUCCAGCCACUCCCAUCUGGUAGAAGAUUCAGGGCCAUCAAAACCAGCAGAACCAGACAUGCCAACAGCUUUUUUUGCUUUUUCCCCAGAGCUAGAGUGCUUAUUAACCUCAGUGAACAGUUACUUCACUUUAACUUUAAACGUAAACUGAAACUAGCCAUAUAUAUGUGGUUAGUACUUUUUGUCUAUUUACAGUAACAUAAAUAAUUGUUUAUUUACAACCUGAACUAAAACGAACUCUCACUUUAUUUGACUACACAGCCACACAGUGACCACUGAAAGACGUGGUUCAGUCAUUAAGGUAAGGAAGGGGCUCUCAUUAAACAUGUUUUACACUAUGUUGUGCAUUUGUGACACAUUGUUGAAACAGUAGUAAGGAUCUAGUAAGAAUUACAAAUGGGACAUCAUCCACUUCUGUUGUCUUUCCCCCGAAAUACUGCUGUUAUAAAUUCUACCAUGAGCAUUCUGCCAAUAAGUUCCAUCUACUGGUGCACAUGUACUCUACAGCAUGCGUGUGUGUCUCAAAACUUACUUUGUGGUGUUGUUCAUAGGUACCUGUAUCUUGAUACAGUUUGAUACCAGUACUGUGUUUAGGUGCCAGUAUCGAUGCCGAUAACGAUACGGCAUGUGCAACACUAUUUGUAUAGAUAUUCCUUUCUGCACAUGUACAGAUAUUCACACAUUUUUAGCUCCUCUCCAUGGCUCUUUAUUAUUCUUUAUUCGAUUUGAUGUAUUUUUAUUUAAUUUUACCUUGGUUAAAUACUUGUUAAUAGUCUGUUUGCUUGUCUGGUGUGUUCAGUAAGUGUCAUAUGUGUCACUAAGACAAAUUCCUUGUUUAACAUACUUGGUGAAAUAAAGUGAUUCUAAUACUUAUUUA